CCUACGGGUGGCAGCAGUGGGGAAUAUUGGUCAAUGGGGGAAACCCUGAACCAGCAACGCCGCGUGCAUGAUGAAGGCCCUCGGGGUGUAAAGCUCUUUUUUUACGGAAGUAAAUGACGUUACCUGUCGAACAAGCCCCGGCUAACUUCGUGCCAGCAGCCGCGGUAACACGGCGGGUGCAGGCGUUAUCCGGAAUUACUGGGCGUAAAGGGAGCGUAGGCGGGAUAGCAAGUCUGAUGUGAAAAGUUAGGGCUCAACCUUAGACCUGCAUUGGAAACUGUCGAGCUGGAGUACGGGGUAGGUAGGCGGAAUUCGUGGUGUAGCGGUGAAAUGCUUAGAUAUGAAGAAGAACACUGAUUGCGAAGGCGGCUUGCUGGAGCGUAACUGACGCUGAUGCUCGAAAGCGUGGGGAGCGAACAGGAUUAGAUACCCCUGUAGUC
rnacentral:rRNA from 1 species